CCUGGCGGUCAUAGCGUCUGGGAACCACCCGAUCCCAUCCCGAACUCGGAAGUGAAACCAGACCGCGCCGAUGAUAGUGUGGGAGUUCCCAUGCGAAAGUAGGUCACUGCCAGGC
rnacentral:rRNA from 1 species